UACGUAGGGUGCAAGCGUUAAUCGGAAUUACUGGGCGUAAAGAGUGCGUAGGCGGCUAUGUAAGACAGAUGUGAAAUCCCUGGGCUUAACCUAGGAACUGCAUUUGUGACUGCAAGGCUAGAGUGCGGCGAGAGGGGGAUGGAAUUCCGCGUGUAGCAGUGAAAUGCGUAGAUAUGCGGAGGAACACCGAUGGCGAAGGCAAUCCCCUGGGCCUGCACUGACGCUCAUGCACGAAAGCGUGGGGAGCAAACAGG
rnacentral:rRNA from 1 species